GCGCCUUGCCAGCCCGCUCAGAAACUCAAAUGAAGUUUGACGGGGGCCCGCACAAGCGGUGGAGCAUGUGGUUUAAUUCGAUGAUACGCGAGGAACCUUACCUGGGCUUAAAUGCUUAAUGACGUACUGGGAAACUGGUAUUUCUUCGGACAUUUUGCAAGGUGCUGCAUGGUUGUCGUCAGCUCGUGCCGUGAGGUGUCGGGUUAAGUCCCAUAACGAGCGCAACCCCUAUUGUUAGUUGCCAUCAGGUCAUGCUGGGGACUCUAACAAAACUGCCCGCGUAAGCGUGGAGGAAGGUGGGGAUGACGUCAAAUCAGCACGGCCCUUACGUCCAGGGCUACACACGUGCUACAAUGGCCGGUACAGAGGGCAGCCACUUGGUGACAAGGAGCAAAUCUCAAAAGCCGGUCUCAGUUCGGAUCGGAGUCUGCAACUCGACUCCGUGAAGUUGGAUUCGCUAGUAAUCGUAGAUCAGCAAUGCUACGGUGAAUACGUUCCCGGGCCUU
rnacentral:rRNA from 1 species